GCUGUGGUGGUGUUAAUGGUUAGCACAGGAGCCUGUGGAGCUCCUAGUCCGAGUUCGAGUCUCGGCCACGGCC
rnacentral:tRNA from 1 species